rnacentral:lncRNA from 1 species
UCAUUUAAUAAAAAAAAUUCUUGAUGUAGGUUUCAUGAAGAAAAUAGAAAAAAAUAUUGAAUAAAGAUGAAGUAGUUUUGAAGAGCAAAAAUGAAGUAGUUCUGAAGAGAAAAAAUGAAGCAACUGCGAAGAGGAAAAAGGAAGCAAUCCUGAAAAGGUAAAAGGAAGCAACUCUGAAGAGGAAAAAGGAAGAAACUUUAAAGAAAUCCAAAAGAGGAGAUAAACACUUAUCAAGUCACUUCAACCUCAGGGGACCACCAGACAGAGGAGUCAGGAAGGGUCCUUAGGAGACGUCUGCUCCAAUCAAAGAGGAUUCUCUGGUGCAGGAGCUAUAGCAGCCGCAAGUGUGGUUCUUUGACAGGAUGAACUCGUAAGUACAAUAACAGUUUCAUGUAGGGUUUGCUAACAGGGAACAGACAAAGAUAAUGGUGCCAUUCACAAAUAAAAACAACCAAAAUAAUGGACUGAUAUGGUCAAGCAUGUUUAAUUACCCUUAGAAAUCGAGUGUUAGGAUGUUUAGUUUUUAAUUUUUUUGAUGUUGUCAGAGAUGUACUUUAAAUAACCGAUUACAAUCCACCAUAUAGAUAGGUUGUUAGACUCAUAGUCGUUGUCUUAAUAGUUUUAAUAAUCAUAAUAAUUGUAGUUAUUGUCAUCACAGUUGUUCGGUCAUGUUCAUGGCACUCUGAUGCGUGCUGGUGCGAACGCAUAGGGUCUGUGUGUGGAGUGCCACUACACUUCAAGCAGCUGCACAUUGUAGCAAGCCUUGCGCGUCGUGUUGACCUACAAGGCUUCUACGGAUGUUGAGGGGUAUAAUUCAAAAGAAUAAAUCUAAUA